rnacentral:rRNA from 1 species
GACGAACGCUGGCGGCGUGCCUAAUACAUGCAAGUCGAACGCUUCUUUCCUCCCGAGUGCUUGCCCUCAAUUGGAAAGAGGAGUGGCGGACGGGUGAGUAACACGUGGGUAACCUACCCAUCAGAGGGGGAUAACACUUGGAAACAGGUGCUAAUACCGCAUAACAGUUUAUGCCGCAUGGCAUAAGAGUGAAAGGCGCUUUCGGGUGUCGCUGAUGGAUGGACCCGCGGUGCAUUAGCUAGUUGGUGAGGUAACGGCUCACCAAGGCCACGAUGCAUAGCCGACCUGAGAGGGUGAUCGGCCACACUGGGACUGAGACACGGCCCAGACUCCUACGGGAGGCAGCAGUAGGGAAUCUUCGGCAAUGGACGAAAGUCUGACCGAGCAACGCCGCGUGAGUGAAGAAGGUUUUCGGAUCGUAAAACUCUGUUGUUAGAGAAGAACAAGGACGUUAGUAACUGAACGUCCCCUGACGGCAUCUAACCAGAAAGCCACGGCUAACUACGUG